rnacentral:rRNA from 1 species
AGGACGAACGCUGGCGGCGCGCCUAACACAUGCAAGUCGAGCGAUAACCAGGGCUUGCCCUGGGGACAGCGGCGAACGGGUGCGUAACACGUGAGCAACCUGCCCCAAAGACCGGGACAACCCGAGGAAACUCGGACUAAUACCGGAUGCCCUCACCGGGCCGCAUGGUCUGGUGAGGAAAUGGAUUCCGCUUUGGGAUGGGCUCGCGGUCUAUCAGCUUGUUGGUGGGGUAACGGCCUACCAAGGCGACGACGGAUAGCUGGUCUGAGAGGGCGACCGGCCACACUGGGACUGAGACACGGCCCAGACUCCUACGGGAGGCAGCAGUGGGGAAUAUUGCGCAAUGGGCGGAAGCCUGACGCAGCGACGCCGCGUGAGGGAUGACGGCCUCGGGUUGUAAACCUCUUUCAGCUCUGACGAGCGCAAGUGACGGUAGGAGCAGAAGAAGCACCGGCCAACUACGUGCCAGCAGCCGCGGU